rnacentral:lncRNA from 1 species
GGACAAACACCACCCUGGGGAUUCGGGAGCCAAAAGGAGCUGCCGGUUUUCUGGAGCCGAGAAAACCUGUGUUUUUGCGCUUCGGUUGCUUUUAUCUGACUGAAACUUUACCUAUACGCUUUUGGAGCUCAGACACUGAGUCUUUGUUCUGCAUAGAAGUGCUGCUGCCGCUUAAAGAGAUCGCAGAUAGUGUCCCCGAUUUAAGAUCAGCGCUCAAUGCACAUUAACUUUCUUUCUUUCUUUUUUUAAGCUCUGCCUCCAACCUGCAGAGGGAUCACGCGGCAGUGGGGGGCAGAUAAAAGCCCUUUGGACGAGGGUCACCUCCGUCCUUGUUGUUCACUUGAGAGCAGUGGAGAGGAAAGCGGUCCCCACGGGCGGACUUUGGCUUCUGGAGCCGCGGGCCCGACCCUCCGGGCCUUACCGGGUCUCCGCCUGGUAGGGGGGGAGGGGCGGCGGCCGAGGGAGGGAGGCAGGCGACGCGGAAAGGGGACUUGGGGAUGGGGCGCUGGACGCGCUAACGAGACCUGCUGGGAGGAUUUGCGUCUCCAGCGGGUCCUGGAGCGACUGGGAGUGCCGGGACAGGAGACAGGUCUUGGCCUAGUUUGCUUGCUGAAAUAGAGCUCUAUCUCGAGGAAAUCAAUGUGCAGGAACAAAAUGGAAGUCGAGGUUUGGACAGAGUUGUCACUUCCCCAACUUGAGUGGUGCGGGCUGGGGGCGGAGACUCGGGACUGAGGAGAGGCCCCUUCUCCCACCUCAGCUCCUUUCCCUGGACUUCCAGAAGGAAAAUUACCCUCCUCACCCACCUUCCUCCUCACACCCAUCCCCACUCGCCUGCCGGCCCCUUUCCCCAACCCUUUUCCCCUUUAUGUGAGAGACGCCUAACUCCCGAGCCAGUGGAGUCGGUCCCCUCGCCCCUCCCGCUUCCACGCCGGUCCCCCCUCCAGCCAUCGCUACUGCUACCACCUCGGUUCCACUCAAUCGAUUUUUGCUGCAUGUCAACACUUAUUACCGAAAGUGGCCCGCGGAUGCUGGGACCUGAGGUGCCAGGACUAAGGCUUGAGGUGGCUCCCGUAGAGCUCCAGCCUGCCUCUACCCAUGUUUCCUCGGUCCAGAAGCAACAAAGCCUUUCUGCCUCCGCUGACAGUUUGCAGCAGCGCGGGAUCCCCUCGCACGCAGUCCUAGGCAGGAAUCUUUAUCCUUUUGGUUCUCGGGAGAUGAGACCUAGAACCGUCUCUGCUGUCCCUGAGAAGGCGGUGGCGCAGCAUACCGAAUGUGACUUGGAACCCAGACUAGUGGCAACGCAGUUCCUGGGCGCUUUCCCCCGCUCUGCUUGCGUCAACAGCCGCCUCAACUCUGCUGCUCCUGGCCAGUGUCUGGGUGGGGUUGCUGCACCCGGUUGAAGCUCGAUGGCAUCUUUCUUCGUCCUCCGGGGUGGACCGGCAGGGCCUUUCCUGGCGUCACUUCACGCGGCCGCCUGCGCCUGGUGGACGGCGAGUCUCCCACGGAGUCACCGCGCCCCGUGCGCGCACGCGCGGGGGGGCGCGGCUGGGCACAGACGCGGGGACCCUGCGCGCCGACCCGAGUGCCAAGGAAGGGGCUUUGCCUGCCAGGGCCCAAGGUUACAGAUGACAGGUCACUUUGUUAGAAAAUAAUAGAAUAUCAAACAAAAGAAAGUGAAGUAAAACCCUUCUUGUGCGCACGCUGGGCCCGGGGCGGUGUUCCUUCACAGGGCUCUCCUGACCUCAGCGCCUCCGGGCCCUGCUUAAAACCCGUGAAAUCUUAGGAGCCGCUCUUAUCUGAUGAGGCGGGGCCUUGUUGUCUGCUUCUCGACAGAAAAAAAAAAAAAAUCCCUCCUGCGAAGGCUGGGCUGCAGCUCCUGGAGCGAAGCUCCCGCCCAGCCCGGAGCCUCCUCUGCCGGCGCAGCCCGGCCGCCUGUCACCGCCCAGCGCCAGGAGACGGCAGUCUGGACAGCUGAGCAGGACCUUUUGGACUCCUAGAUUCCGGGGGCCACAAGGCCCAGCUCGUAGAAGGACCCGAGGAGCCGCCGCGCCACCUGAACGUGCCCCCAAGAGCGCCUUGGCCUUGGGCCUCCCUGGCCGCCCGAACCAAGGCUCCGGCACAGCCGGGCGCUGCGCUGUCAUUGACCAGAACAGCUGCUCUGUCUUCAUGCUCAAUUUUUGGCCGGCGACAUGGGAGAAGGGCGGUGGCAAGACGUGCUGCCUCGUAUUAUCCCGACGGUAUUUUCAGAGGCCCCCGGAGAUGCCGCGGCCCAGAAGGCAACCCACGCACCUCCGGGGACCCCUCUCGGGUCCCUCCCCCGGUGUGGGCACGUCCCUCCGGAUAACGAACCCGGAAUCUAAGCCGCAGCUGCCGCCGCGCGCCCACCUCCGGCCGCAGCCC